GCCGAGCUCAGUGGCGAGAGCUUGUCACCCAGAUGGGGGCAAAUGGGUGGUUGUGGAUGUUUGGUGCGGAAUCUGGGCCCUGGGGUCAUGUGUUGUGUAACUAUGCUGGCCUGCCCGUUCCAAGUCGAGUAGUGGGCUUUGGGGGAGGCUUUGGCGAAAGCCUCGGGCCUCUCCGGCCACUACAGUGGCAGGCCACCGCGUGAGGCUGGUUUAACAGAGCAGCGAUCACUGCCCGCUUCCAACGGUCAUAACAGACCACCACCUUUUUUGUUUUUUUGUGAUUAUUUUAAAUACUCUUGAGCAAACAAUUAACCUU
rnacentral:SRP_RNA from 1 species